rnacentral:rRNA from 1 species
UACGUAGGGUCCGAGCGUUGUCCGGAUUUAUUGGGCGUAAAGAGCUCGUAGGCGGUUCCGUAAGUCAGAUGUGAAAACUCAGGGCUCAACCCGGAGACGCCAUCUGAUACUGCGGUGACUGGAGUCUGGUAGGGGAACACGGAAUUCCUGGUGUAGCGGUGAAAUGCGCAGAUAUCAGGAGGAACACCGAUGGCGAAGGCAGUGUUCUGGGCAAGUACUGACGCUGAGGAGCGAAAGCGUGGGGAGCAAACAGG